rnacentral:lncRNA from 1 species
AAUUCUGCCUUGUGUCAGAUGUCUGUUGUCUAUAUUAGCUCAAGUGGUAGACUUAAAGAAUGAACUGAAAACAUCGUUUAAGAACUAAGAAAAACAAAAUACUUGCCAUAAACAUACGGGGGUACUGCAAGGAUCCUACCAGACAUUUAUUACCUGUACUAUUUGAAGAAAAAAACGUAUACCACUAACCAAAAAUACUUUUCUCUGCCAC